GUUGUACCUGCAGAGACUUCUUUAAGGUACAGAUGUGAACAUUGAUUUUGGCUGCCAAGAUCUCGUAGGUGCUUUUGCUUCUGGUGAGCACUGAAUUACUGGAAUUAAAAGUUACACUGUACAUUAGAUUUCAAUAAUUUGUUGGUGGCAAUGCAGCCCAAAGGCUUGUAACAGUGUGUACUGAGGACUGAGUAAUACUGUGAGGUCCUGUAUCUGCCUUUUCCUCCAGGAAAACAUGGAGGGUUCAUCUUCCCCUGGGGAUUCAUCUUCACUACUUCAAAAGUGAUGAACUGCAAGCUUCUAUCUGCACAGACUGAAGGGCCAGUGCUGUGAUGGGAUGAAGCUGGGAAUAAAAUGUUUGGAAAGUCAAAGAGAAGCCUUCCCUUCCUUGCUGCAAGUAGAAGGGAACAGGCAUGGACUAACUGCUUUCUUAAGCAAAGCAUGUGCUGAAGAACUUCCUAAAUUCCAAAAACGUGCAAAUGUGUUCUGCCCUGAAAGCUUGCUGAUGGAAAGGGACCAGUAAACACCUGUGACCUGGCCUCAGUUUUGGUAGGGUAUUGUGGGUGGCAGAAGAACACGUCAGGGUAGAAAUCUCCAUGAAGAAGAUGAUGGUACACAGGUGUUGAAAGCUCUGUUUUUGCAGGGUGUCAUCAGAAAUCUCCCAUCAGAAUUUGUGCAAUUUUAUCACAUCACUCAAAAACCAGCAAUCUUUCACCUUCUUACCGAUGCUGUUAAGAACACUUUUGCUCUCUGAAGUAGAAAUGCUAAGUCACAGUUUGAAGCAGUGAUUGGGCACCUGGUGGGAUGGCAGGGCCAACACAGGGGAGCUCAGGUGCAUGCAAUGUAUCUGAGUGACCAGAAAGGAGUGAGGCCAGG
rnacentral:lncRNA from 1 species